ensembl:lncRNA
CUCCUCAGUGCUCCUUCUGCUCCAUGCAAGCUUUUGAGAUCCAGUCCUGGCAGAGUGCUGAACACGCUGUGGGUCCAGGUGAGCUCCCUCCCAGUGGGAGCAUCCAAUGAAGGCUGCAGCACAGAGCGGGUGGAAGAGCAGAGCCAGGAGCCCCAUGGGCGCAGCAGCUUCGAAGCCAUCACUCGCUGCUGCAAAGCACGGGCAGGUUCACCCCACUGCUGGGUGCUGCUUCCCAUGGGAUGUUUGGGAAGACCUGAAUGGUGCUGAGAUCCACGUGUGGAUCUGCAACUGUUCUCCACCUCCGGGCUCCGACCUCGCAGCCGUAUGAGCGAUCCUUUGGGUGCUUUCCAGCUCUGAACCGAAGCAUCUCUGCAGCAAAGCCCUGAUUAUUCCAGGCUGCAAAGCAGGUCUGCAGCAAUUAGAGAUGGAACAAAACCCUUCCAGCUCCGGAGCCACGCAGGGGAAAAACAAAUCUGCGUGGGAUGGAUUUGAGCUUAAACACAGACUGCCCCGGCCCCGAGCAAUGAGGGUGGCAGGGAUGUGCCCGGGGUGGGGAGGGGGCUGCCAUCCCCACUGCCUUCCCACGACCCUCCUGGCGCCCGCCCCGCUCACAAAACCAGAACUCCUUAUUCCUGAGAACUUAAUCUGGUGGUUUUGUUCAGCAAAACUCCAGCAGCCGUCAGCUGGGAGCGGGGGCUGCGCCGGGCAGCACGGGAAAGUCUCGUUUUGCAUCUAAUGAAAAUUGCAUCCUUUGUUGUUCUUCUUUCUUUAGAUAUAUAUAUAUAUAUAUAUUUUUUCCCUCUCGACUACAAAAAGGGGACGUUUCCAACGCUCAGCAGCUGGAGAUAAAAAAAAGGGAUAAAAUAUUUAUUCUCAAAUGAGCCGGUAAUAAACGAACCUGGGAGCUCGAGUCUGAGCUGGGUUUACGUUCGCUUUGUCUUUCAGACGGGAAAAAAUGAGUCAGCCUGCAGUGAAUGCGCCGUGCUGCUUUUUCCUCCUCUCGAGGCAAUGAGAGCCUCGUUAGCCACCUUGCAGGCCAAGCCCGGGUCUCAGCUGUGUUUUGCCCCUGAGCAGAGGACUUUUCCCAUCUCUUUGGAGCAGCCCCAUCCCUCGGUGGGCGCGGAGCCGGACUUCCAUUUGCCUGGGAAUGCAAAUCUCCCUCAUCUGUCCCACGCUGCCUUUGAAACAGGAGAAAGUCAGCCCUGCCAGGUCCUGGGGAGGCUUUUUCCUGCUCGUGGUGAUUUUGUCUUCAGCUGUGUUUGGAAGGAAACCAGCACGGCCACUUUCUCCCGGCCUCUGUAAAUCAUUCCUUCUCCCCCCCCCCAAUCCUUUCCCCUUUCAUACUAAAAUAAAGGAAAUAAUUAAAAGAGCAGGAAAAUGAGCUGCUGGCAGGUUUCCUACAGACUCUCUCAGUGCUGCGGUGCUGUUGCUCGGCCAUAGGGCAGCCUCUCCAUAGCAGGGCACUGCUGGCAGCCCGCUGUCCUCGUGCAAAGCAGAGCGCUGAGGUUUGCCCUGGUGACUCCUUGGCAGCAUCUGCAAAGGGGCACUGCAUCAGUGGUGCAGCAGCAAACUGCAUUUCACAGCAAUGCUUCGAGGGAAACCGGGGAGGUGUCCCCCAUCUAUCCCCAGGCUCUCUUUGCUGAGGGUCGCUAUGGGGUUUGCUGGGUGCCUCCUUUGCAUCCUUACUCUUAGGUUCCUGGAUCUGGGUUUUCUCAGCAUAUUUUGGGCAACGUUUCAUAUCCCUCAUGCACUUACAGAGAUGAUUCAACAGCAGCAAUAGGAGCUGCACACGCAUGGAGGAGACCAUUGCCUUGCUGAGGUAUCAACUCUCAUGCUGUCUCCAUCAUUAAUUCUCUACCUGAAUGCACCCACCUGGGGCUGUUUCCCUCUCCCUGCUUGCAGGGCCACAUCCAUUAAAACCCAGACCUCUCCUCCCCUCCCCAUGCUUUGCUUCCAGCUGUGGCCCAGCAGGGUCACCUGGGGGAUAUUUAGGUGUGAGGAGGGGCAGAUCUCCUCUCCUCCCCACCCCACCCUGUGCAUGGUGAGGAGGUCUUCCCCAUGUCAAGGGUGUGAGGUGGGUCGUGCUGGGUGCCUUGGAGGUGUUUUCUCUCUUUGCUUAUCAUGGCAACGCUGUCCGUCCUACCCAGGUGAGUGAGGGAGGGCUGUCUGUUGGCUGCAUGACACUGGGGUGGCUUUGUGGCUGCAGGGGGUGGUCUUGGCUCUGUCACCACCCAGAUGUCCUCAUCUCACAACUCCCUGUGCCAGGACAUCUGCACCCUUCCCCCGUGCUCCCUGUCUAUGUGGGGCUGUCUGAGUCACCUCUCUCCUUGUUCUGUUCCGCCUUGCAAAGCACUGGGCACAUUGCUUCUGCCCUUUGGGGCCAGGCUUAUCGCAUCCCAACCCCAGUGCUGCUUUCUGCUGGAGCUCCAAGAUGUACAUCAGCAUCAAGAAUCACAGAGGUUCAGGCCAUGCACAGUUCCCUGAUCCUGGCCGAUGGGACAGCACAGCCCCUUGUGAUGCAAUGCCUGCUUCCCAUUACGGGGGAAUGCAGCCCAUAUGGUGGGCAGAUUUCUGCCUGGAGGUGGGGGGGGGGGGGAGGAGCUGAGCUCUGCUGCUGCAGGCACUGCUGGCAGCUCACGGUGCUCUGGUGAGGUCAGGACCCGAGUGCCCCAAAUCCCCCCUUUCCCUGCACCAGCUGACCCCAUGAUAGCCUUGGGGUGACCUGCAGGAAUGCUUGCUUGUCUCCUUUGUGGAGGCAGACAGAUGCUUGGGGAAGAAAUAGAGGUGAGAUUAGCACUUCUCAGCUGCAGCUGAGUGCUGUGAGCUGUUGUUUCACGUGCAAAGUCCUGCUGCAAUUCUGGAAGCUCCAUUCCCAUCACUGUUCCUACACAAAAGGAGGGUUGCGGCUCCCUGCUCAUGCAUGGGGUGAGAGCAUAUUGAUACACUGGGGGGGGAGGGGGUUUAGCUUUAUCUUUUUCUCGGUGACUGGUGAGGUUUGAGGAUAGGGCUGUGCCCAGGAGGUGGUGUCCCUCCCAUGGAUGGGAUGGAAUGGAGGCAUCUGCUAGGACAUGGGGACUGAAAGGGGUGAUGGCCCCAUGCCAUGGCUUGUGGGGGUUCAGGGCUUAUCUGAGACCCUGUGCCAGGGAUGAGAUGGCUCAGCCAAGUGAUGGCAAGUGACUGGAGAGGCAGUUUGGGUCCAGUCCUGUCCCCAUGCUGAUGGCUGCCCUCCUUUGUCCCCUGUAGAGCUCACUACAGCAGAGGUGAGGUUAAGCCUGGGGUUGACCUCUUCCUUCUCCAGACACCCAUAAACGAGGGGAAGGAAACUUCCCAGCACCCUUCCCAAAGCCUUGCUCAGCAGCCCAUGCAAACAUCAGACUCCUUUCCAGAUCUUAUUAUUCCUUUUCCUUUUCUUUUCCCCUCCUGAAAUAACCAUAAAUCAGACUGCUCUCCCUAAGGACCAUCUACUGCAGCUGACCCUGCAUGUGAAGACCACCUAGCAAAGCUCCUUCUCUGAAGCACUGCUUCAGCCACAGAUAUGGGGACAGUGUAGGAGUGAAGGAUACACAUGGACCCCCUCCCCCCCCACACACACACCAAUUCUGCCUAUGGGUCCAACUUUUCCUGGGAGCUGCAGGCAGACACCCUCCAGCUUUGCUUUCAGCCUGGCUCUGCUCCUCUUCCCUGCUCGAGCUUUUUUCCCAGGGGAGGAUGGAGAUUAAGAGGAAGCAGAUUAAACCUAAUGGAUUGAUUGCAAUUAUUUCCCCUUGUUUAUUUGCAGUACCAUGUGGGAGCCUGAA